AUAUUCUUCUGAGUUCACUGAUUCCAGAGCUAUCAGAGUAGCAGAAAUGUUUUUGCUUCAUUAUGCUUUUUUGGUUCACUUCUUAUGUAUUCUCAGAAGCUGUGAAGAUUGAAGAUAUGGAGGAUGAUAUUCUAUCAAGAAUAGAAAUUUAGAAUCA
rnacentral:lncRNA from 1 species